GUAACAGGAAGCAGCUUGCUGCUUCGCUGACGAGUGGCGGACGGGUGAGUAAUGUCUGGGAAACUGCCUGAUGGAGGGGGAUAACUACUGGAAACGGUGGCUAAUACCGCAUAACGUCGCAAGACCAAAGAGGGGGACCUUCGGGCCUCUUGCCAUCAGAUGUGCCCAGAUGGGAUUAGCUAGUUGGUGAGGUAACGGCUCACCAAGGCGACGAUCCCUAGCUGGUCUGAGAGGAUGACCAGCCACACUGGAACUGAGACACGGUCCAGACUCCUACGGGAGGCAGCAGUGGGGAAUAUUGCACAAUGGGCGCAAGCCUGAUGCAGCCAUGCCGCGUGUAUGAAGAAGGCCUUCGGGUUGUAAAGUACUUUCAGCGGGGAGGAAGGUGUUGUGGUUAAUAACCGCAGCAAUUGACGUUACCCGCAGAAGAAGCACCGGCUAACUCCGUGCCAGCAGCCGCGGUAAUACGGAGGGUGCAAGCGUUAAUCGGAAUUACUGGGCGUAAAGCGCACGCAGGCGGUCUGUCAAGUCGGA
rnacentral:rRNA from 1 species